GAUGAAGAACGCAGCGAAAUGCGAUAAGUAAUGUGAAUUGCAGAAUUCAGUGAAUCAUCGAAUCUUGAACGCACAUUGCGCCCCUUGGUAUUCCGGGGGGCAUGCCUGUUCGAGCGUCAUUUCAACCCUCAAGCUUCUGCCUGGUCUUGGGCCGUGCCGGCAACGGCUGGCCUUAAAACUAGUGGCGGUGCCAUCGAGCUCUACGCGUAGUAAUUCUAUCUCGCGUCUGGGCUUCGGUGGACGCUGGCCAGCAACCCCCAAUUUUCUAUGGUUGACCUCGGAUCAGGUAGGGAUACCCGCUGAACUUAAGCAUAACAAUAAGCGGAGGA
rnacentral:misc_RNA from 1 species